rnacentral:rRNA from 1 species
GAACGCUGGCGGCAGGCCUAACACAUGCAAGUCGAACGGAAACAUGUCUAGCUUGCUAGAUGAUGUCGAGUGGCGGACGGGUGAGUAAUACUUAGGAACAUGCCUUUGGGUGGGGGAUAACUAUUGGAAACGAUAGCUAAUACCGCAUAACGUCUACGGACCAAAGGGGGGAGCUUGCUCCUCUCGCCCAAAGAGUGGCCUAAGCGAGAUUAGCUUGUUGGUGGGGUAAAGGCUCACCAAGGCGACGAUCUCUAGCUG